rnacentral:rRNA from 1 species
UACGUAGGGUGCGAGCGUUGUCCGGAAUUAUUGGGCGUAAAGAGCUCGUAGGCGGUCUGUCGCGUCGGUCGUGAAAACUUGGGGCUUAACCCUGAGCUUGCGGUCGAUACGGGCAUGACUGGAGUUCGGCAGGGGAGACUGGAAUUCCUGGUGUAGCGGUGAAAUGCGCAGAUAUCGGGAAGAACACCCGUGGCGAAGGCGGUUCUCUGGGACGGUACUGACGCUGAGACGCGAAAGCGUGGGGAGCGAACAGG